CCUCUGUGUCUCCUGCCAUGCUGAUGGUCUGGUAUCUGUAUUCCAGGGCACCCUUCUCAUGCACAGGGUUGCAUGGAAUAGCUUUUCCUAUCCUUUCAACAUUUAACCUCUUUUAAGCAUAGCCGGGUCUUGGGGGGUCUUUCUCGGUUUGACAGUGUCUGCCUUUCGUUCGGGUGUCCCUCUGUCUACCUUACACAUAACCCGCCGGACGGUGGUCUCCUAGGGUGCCCCCUUCCCGUCUGUCCUCUGAUUGUCUCAUCUCAGCCUCUGCUCUUCAAUUGUCCUGUUUUUUUGAGUCUCUGUUCCUCGACGCUUGUUUUUCUUAGGUUAACUGAAUCUUUUUGGUAUUCAUUUUAAUUUCUCUGUGGGCCCGUUAGCUCGGCCUCUCUGUGUCAUUUAAUCUUGGAAGCUAUUCUAGGUAUUACAACGUGCAUCGUUAGUUACGGCAGUCUAUUGGCCACUUCACAACAAUGCAGGGAUCUGGUGACACUGUCAUUCCCGUAACCGCCGUCCUUGGUGCUGUUGUUACGUGUUUCACUUCUACGCCUGCUGUACACUCUCUAACUGUGAGAAACUGGGUGCCACGGGAUGGGUUCUCUGGGAAGCCGACGCUGAGAUGGAGCUGGGAGCCAUCUUGUCCUGAUGUCUCAUCGUGAAUAAGUCUAUCAGAUCUCCUCUUGGGGGUGAGGCUGGGUGGAGACGGCAGAUCUGCACGGUGGAGAAAAGAGAAGAAGGCCAGCACAGUGGCAUUGAGGAAUCCAGGGAGCUCCUGGCCAACUUGGCCUGAGUCUUGCAUUUCAGAUGAAAAAAGGAAAACUGUGGCACCUGGAGCAGAAAGCCACAUGCCUGAGCGGCCGCCUGAGAAAGCAGCACAGACCCACGCUCCGGGCUCCUGUCCGGAUGUCUGAGAGAAACUCUCCCAGCUGCAUCAGACCCAGGAAGAGAGUCCUCGGAACCUGGAAACCUGGGACCCUCCUCUGUUUCUGUGGAAACCCUGUCAACUUCCUGAGGCAGGCGCUUGGACAUUCUGCUAAAUGCUCUGAAUAUCAACGUCGUUCUCAGUAGUCUGGAUUUCAUCCAAGGACCAAGUCGGACCCGCAUCCACCCCAGACUGCUGACUUUUUCUGCCUUUAUUACCUUUUUGCCCUGAAAUUUUCAUCUAUUAGUUUUUUCAUCCUGAUCCAUCAUAUAUAUUUAG
rnacentral:lncRNA from 1 species